rnacentral:rRNA from 1 species
AGUGAACGCUGGCGGUAGGCCUAACACAUGCAAGUCGAACGGCAGCACAGUAAGAGCUUGCUCUUACGGGUGGCGAGUGGCGGACGGGUGAGGAAUACAUCGGAAUCUACUUUUUCGUGGGGGAUAACGUAGGGAAACUUACGCUAAUACCGCAUACGACCUACGGGUGAAAGCAGGGGAUCUUCGGACCUUGCGCGAUUGAAUGAGCCGAUGUCGGAUUAGCUAGUUGGCGGGGUAAAGGCCCACCAAGGCGACGAUCCGUAGCUGGUCUGAGAGGAUGAUCAGCCACACUGGAACUGAGACACGGACCAGACUCCUACGGGAGGCAGCAGUGGGGAAUAUUAGACAAUGGGCGCAAGCCUGAUCCAGCCAUACCGCGUGGGUGAAGAAGGCCUUCGGGUUGUAAAGCCCUUUUGUUGGGAAAGAAAAGCAGCAGGUUAAUACCCCGCUGUUCUGACGGUACCCAAAGAAUAAGCACCGGCUAACUUCGUG